rnacentral:rRNA from 1 species
AGAGUUUGAUCAUGGCUCAGGAUGAACGCUGGCGGCGUGCUUAACACAUGCAAGUCGAACGGAGUUAAGAUGAAACCUGGUGAUUCUUAACUUAGUGGCGGACGGGUGAGUAACGCGUGGGUAACCUGCCGUAUACAGGGGGAUAACACUUAGAAAUAGGUGCUAAAACCGCAUAAGCGCACAGCUUCGCAUGAAGCAGUGUGAAAAACUCCGGUGGUAUACGAUGGACCCGCGUCUGAUUAGCCAGUUGGCAGGGUAACGGCCUACCAAAGCGACGAUCAGUAGCCGGCCUGAGAGGGUGAACGGCCACAUUGGGACUGAGACACGGCCCAAACUCCUACGGGAGGCAGCAGUGGGGAAUAUUGCACAAUGGGGGAAACCCUGAUGCAGCGACGCCGCGUGAGUGAAGAAGUAUUUCGGUAUGUAAAGCUCUAUCAGCAGGGAAGAAAAUGACGGUACCUGAGAAAGAAGCCCCGGCUAACUACGUGCCAGCAGCCGCGGUAAUACGUAGGGGGCAAGCGUUAUCCGGAUUUACUGGGUGUAAAGGGAGCGUAGACGGUUGUGCAAGUCUGGAGUGAAAUGCGGGGGCUCAACCCCUGAACUGCUUUGGAAACUGUGUAACUGGAGUGCAGGAGAGGUAAGUGGAAUUCCUAGUGUAGCGGUGAAAUGCGUAGAUAUUAGGAGGAACACCAGUGGCGAAGGCGGCUUACUGGACUGUAACUGACGUUGAGGCACGAAAGCGUGGGGAGCAAACAGGAUUAGAUACCCUGGUAGUCCACGCCGUAAACGAUGAUUACUAG